rnacentral:rRNA from 1 species
UACGUAGGGGGCAAGCGUUGUCCGGAAUCAUUGGGCGUAAAGAGCGUGUAGGCGGCUCGGUAAGUCCGCUGUGAAAGUCCAGGGCUCAACCCUGGAAUGCCGGUGGAAACUGCCGGGCUUGAGUAUGGGAGAGGUGAGUGGAAUUUCCGGUGUAGCGGUGAAAUGCGUAGAUAUCGGAAGGAACACCUGUGGCGAAAGCGGCUCACUGGACCAUUACUGACGCUGAGGCACGAAAGCUAGGGGAGCAAACAG